rnacentral:piRNA from 1 species
UUAGAAUUUGGGUCCUUGUGCUUGUGUGA